AUCUUAAUUGACAGCUGCAAUAUUUACUUACAGCUUGACUACUUUUGGUGCCCCACUGUGCUAAGGUUGUCAGGAGCAAACAUCACCGAGUGGACACUCCCUAAGGGCAAGUUUAAGUUCCACUUUCAUAACAGCGCCGGCCUAAGUUACCAGAUCCAGGAAUGUUGGGAUUGCAUUAGUAAAGGUUUGACGGAGAGUUCAAAAAUGACUUUAGAUGAAAGUGUACUUAUAUCGAAACUAACGGACACAAUGAGAGCGCAACUAGGAGUUUUAGAGAAUGGACUUUAAUUUAUUAAUAACAUAUUUAUAUUAAAAUAAUUAUUGCCAGUAUAGUAUAGUUGAACCGAGUAUUAUAGAC
rnacentral:lncRNA from 1 species